rnacentral:rRNA from 1 species
GAAGUUGGAGUCGCUAGUAAUCGCAGAUCAGCAACGCUGCGGUGAAUACGUUCCCGGGCCUUGUACACACCGCCCGUCACGUCAUGAAAGUUGGUAACACCCGAAGCCGGUGGCCUAACCCUUGUGGAGGGAGCCGUCGAAGGUGGGAUCGGCGAUUGGGACGAAGUCGUAACAAGGUAGCCGUACCGGAAGGUGCGGCUGGAUCACCUCCUUU